UACGUAGGUGGCAAGCGUUGUCCGGAUUUACUGGGCGUAAAGGAUGCGUAGGCGGACAUUUAAGUCAGAUGUGAAAUACCCGAGCUUAACUUGGGUGCUGCAUUUGAAACUGGGUGUCUAGAGUGCAGGAGAGGUAAGUGGAAUUCCUAGUGUAGCGGUGAAAUGCGUAGAGAUUAGGAAGAACACCAGUGGCGAAGGCGACUUACUGGACUGUAACUGACGCUGAGGCAUGAAAGCGUGGGUAGCAAACAGG
rnacentral:rRNA from 1 species